rnacentral:tRNA from 1 species
GGUCCUGUCGUCUAGCCUGGCCUAGGACAUCGGAUUUUCAUUCCGAAAACACGGGUUCGAAUCCCGUCGGGACUACCA